rnacentral:rRNA from 1 species
UACGUAGGGUGCAAGCGUUAAUCGGAAUUACUGGGCGUAAAGCGUGCGCAGGCGGUUUUGUAAGUCUGUCGUGAAAGCCCUGGGCUCAACCUGGGAAUUGCGAUGGAGACUGCAAGGCUUGAAUCUGGCAGAGGGGGGUAGAAUUCCACGUGUAGCAGUGAAAUGCGUAGAGAUGUAGAGGAACACCGAUGGCGAAGGCAGCCCCCUGGGUCAAGAUUGACGCUCAUGCACGAAAGCGUGGGGAGCAAACAGG